GGUGAUUGUUGGUCUGGUGCAUG
rnacentral:miRNA from 1 species